rnacentral:rRNA from 1 species
CGGGUGAGUAACGCGUGAGGAACCUGCCUCAAAGAGGGGGACAACAGUUGGAAACGACUGCUAAUACCGCAUAAGCCCACGGCUCGGCAUCGAGCAGAGGGAAAAGGAGCAAUCCGCUUUGAGAUGGCCUCGCGUCCGAUUAGCUAGUUGGUGAGGUAACGGCCCACCAAGGCGACGAUCGGUAGCCGGACUGGGAGGUUGAACAGCCACAUUGGGACUGAGACACGGCCCAG